rfam:Pteropus alecto contig106810, whole genome shotgun sequence.
AUCUAUAGCCGUGCUACCCUGAACAUACCCGAUCCCAUCUGAUCUCGGAAGCUAAGCAGGGUCGGGCCUGGUUAGUACUUGGAUGGGAGACUACCUAGGAAGACCAGGUGCUGUAGGUG